GUUGCUUCUUUCUGGUGAACUCUCUCAUAUUAAGUCAUGGGGGAUGUUCAUGUUUCCGAAGCAUAAAUUGAUACUAAAUUUGCCAGUAUUAAACAGCUCUGUGUGAAUCCCUAUUGCACUCUGCUACCUGUCUCCUGGUACAUCA